AUCUAGACAAAACAAGUCCACCGUGGGCUUUGAAAAACGCUUUCCUUGAUAAAAUUUAAGCGUUUUAUAAGAGGAUGCCGGGGAAGGUUUUCCGGUUUAUCCCGGAGGGCUUGUAGCUCAGUUGGUUAGAGCGCGCGCUUGAUAAGCGUGAGGUCGGAGGUUCAAGUCCUCCCAGGCCCACCAGUUUAUCCAUUACUUUCAUAAGUGCUUUUAAAAAUAAGUACUUCUAAAAAGAUUGCUUCUAAAAAGCUUAUCAAAAUUGGCAGGCUUAUUGCUUUUGUGUGAGUAAUCCAAAGUUAAAGCAAAUUAAUGGCAAAAAAACAGUUCAAAUGCUAAAUACUAAGGAGUCAAAAUUCCUUGCAAAGUGAUUUUUACAGCGUCCAUUUGGUUGAUAUAAAUUCCAAAUGCUCAUAGACGUCAAUGCCUAUAUGAAACUAUCGGUUCAAUCAUAUCGCUUUGAGUUAUAUAGAUUUUGUAAUCCCUCUUUUGAUCGUUUUAAACGCUUUAUUCUGAUUUAGGGGCCGUAGCUCAGCUGGGAGAGCACC
rnacentral:misc_RNA from 1 species